rnacentral:rRNA from 1 species
GACGAACGCUGGCGGCGUGCUUAACACAUGCAAGUCGAACGGAAAGGCCCUGCUUGCAGGGUCCUCGAGUGGCGAACGGGUGAGUAACACGUGGGUGAUCUGCCCUGCACUUCGGGAUAAGCCUGGGAAACUGGGUCUAAUACCGGAUAGGAGCCAUUUUUAGUGUGAUGGUUGGAAAGUUUUUUCGGUGUAGGAUGAGCUCGCGGCCUAUCAGCUUGUUGGUGGGGUAAUGGCCUACCAAGGCGGCGACGGGUAGCCGGCCUGAGAGGGUGGACGGCCACAUUGGGACUGAGAUACGGCCCAGACUCCUACGGGAGGCAGCAGUGGGGAAUAUUGCACAAUGGGCGCGAGCCUGAUGCAGCGACGCCGCGUGGGGGAUGACGGCCUUCGGGUUGUAAACUCCUUUCGCUAGGGACGAAGCUUUUUGUGACGGUACCUAGAUAAGAAGCACCGGCUAACUACGU